UGCUGAUAUAUCUCUUAGUAAGACAUAAAUAUUCUUAAUUCCUUAGUUCUGCCAGUGCUAACAUGUUUUGCUGCUUUUUUACCGGGCUGUUAGCAGCUAUUCUGAUCUCCUCAGUCUGUCCCUGCUGGGUCAAGUCUGUCCUUCUCCUCGUUCUACUUCUUCCUCCGUGUCACUGCUGUGCACUCCACAGGACUGCUUCAGCAUUUGAUGGCCUUGUUCUCGCUGCUCCAAUCACACUUGUGGCGCAAGGCUCCAUCUCUUGGAGAUGGACAUCUUUUCUCUUUGGCCUUUAACCCAGAGUUGGCCCAUCUUGGGUGACACCAAUGACUGCUAUGCAUGCGGGGGAACCAUUGCUAUGCUUCUGACAGCAAACAUUCUUGGAGCGCGGCCGCGUGGCUCUGGCAUUCUGCCGCAUAGAAGAUCCACUGAACACAGAUCGGCUGCUCUGCUGUUUUUUACAGAGAUGAGCGUCAUCCCGGUGAGGAGCUUCCAAACAACACAUGCGCUGAUGAGGUGUCAGAGCACAUCGGUGAAUCCCAACUGCAACCCUGGAGGCUCCUUAAAGCUCGGCAAAAGCGUCCGCUCAGGGUGCCACCUCUCGAGAUCAGGCCGUUUUUCUAACAGCUCUAUAAAGUAUGCAAUGUUUUCUCGAUUUAACCGUUUCGUGGCUUUGUGGUGAUGUUUAUGGAGAGCUGCUCAUGAUGACAGGAACAGCAACGGUCACAUAAAACUCCAGGCUGAGCAAACAAAUUGCUUUUCCUACUGGGUAACAAGAAGCCUGUGGAAAAGUGUGCCGCCUCCUUGAAGUUGGGGGACUGAUUACGGUUUAAAGACCGGUCGGCUAAAGAGAAGAAAAAGAUCAAUCUGUUCUUGACUGUUCUUUUAUUUUGCUGGGGCAGGAAGCUAGAUUUCUGCUUUCUUAUGAGGUUGAAAAGAAGCAGGUACAGUGCAAAGAGAGGCUGUCAGGGGGCUUGAAGAAAUAGAAAAUACUGUUUCUCAAUAUCUGGCUGCAGCAAAUGUCACGCUUUGGGCAAGCAAGAAAAUAAUCAGCAGUCAGUUCCUGCGACACGUCAGCGUGCCCGGUCUCAAACCGCAUCCAUUCAUCACAAAGGGACAAUUAAAAACAAGCUGUCCGGGCCGGUCCUGCAUGAAUCUCCACUGCAUUAAUCCUUCAGCAUUAUGCUCCACAAUAGUUGCUGGGAGCAGUCGUGUCUUUGUGGAUUGGGUGCAGAAAGCAGCAGCAGGAGGUGGGGUGGGAGCUAUUUGUGAUGUAGAUUCCCUACAACACAGGACCACCAGCACUGAAGAGCAAAAAGCAAACUAAAAAAAAAACACACAUACAGACUAUUUGAGUGCGAUGCAGGGGAUGUGGAGCAGGGCUGCCUUCCCUCCAUCCGCAUCAGGAAAAAGGAGGACUGAAAGAGCAAGGCUGCUCAGAAGGCUGAAACUUGGGAGUGCUGAGGUUCGACUGUCCCAAACUCUUCCAGGGUAAUGCUGUUUCAGUUCUCACAAGGGGUUAAAUUAAAAGUCUACUUUUCCCCUUGCUGGGCUGGUGGGUGAACACCUGGAGUUAACAAGCUAAAUACAAACAGCAGGCUGGAGAGUCACUAUAUGGGUGCAUGAAACUUUAAAGAUUUGUUUUCCUUCUGAGACUCAAGGUGGGUUUGGUGAAUAACUUUAAAGUUUCUGCAGCCACAAACUUUCCCUUCCCUGCACAACCAUUCCUC